UGGGGAAUAUUGCGCAAUGGAGGAAACUCUGACGCAGCAACGCCGCGUGAAUGAAGAAGGCUUUCGGGUUGUAAAGUUCUGUCAAUUGGGAAGAAACCUUUAGUGUAAAUAGCGCUAGAGAUGACGGUACCAGUGAAGGAAGCUCCGGCUAACUACGUGCCAGCAGCCGCGGUAAUACGUAGGGAGCAAGCGUUAUCCGGAAUUAUUGGGCGUAAAGGGCGUGUAGGCGGCCAAUUAAGCUAGGUGUAAA
rnacentral:rRNA from 1 species